CCUACGGGGGGCUGCAGGUAAGAAUAUUCCGCAAUGGGGGGAACCCUGACGGAGCGACGCCGCGUGAACGAAGAAGGCCGGAAGGUUGUAAAGUUCUUUUCUGUCCGAGGAAUAAGUUUUGGAGGAAAUGCCAAGAUGGUGACGGUAGGGCAGGAAUAAGCACCGGCUAAUUACGUGCCAGCAGCCGCGGUAACACGUAAGGUGCGAGCGUUGUUCGGAAUUAUUGGGCGUAAAGGGCAUGCAGGCGGGUCGCCAAGCUUGGUAAGAAAUACCGGGGCUCAACUCCGGAGCUAUAUUGAGAACUGGCGAGCUAGAGUUGCCGAAGGGUAUCCGGAAUUCCGCGUGAAGGGGUGAAAUCUGUAGAUAUGCGGAAGAACACCGAUGGCGAAGGCAGGAUACCGGCGGACGACUGACGCUGAGGUGCGAAGGUGCGGGGAGCAAACAGGAUUAGAUACCCGAGUAGUC
rnacentral:rRNA from 1 species